GAUGAACGCUGGCGGCGUGCUUAACACAUGCAAGUCGAACGAAGCUGCUUAAAGGAAGUUUUCGGAUGGAAUUUAGGUAGACUUAGUGGCGGACGGGUGAGUAACGCGUGGAUAACCUGCCUUAUACAGGGGGAUAACGGAGAGAAAUUUCCGCUAACACCGCAUAAGACCACAGCACCGCAUGGUGCAGGGGUAAAAUAUUUAUAGGUAUAAGAUGGAUCCGCGUCCGAUUAGCUAGUUGGUGAGGUAGAGGCUCACCAAGGCGACGAUCGGUAGCCGGCCUGAGAGGGUGAACGGCCACAUUGGGACUGAGACACGGCCCAAACUCCUACGGGAGGCAGCAGUGGGGAAUAUUGGACAAUGGGGGAAACCCUGAUCCAGCGACGCCGCGUGAGUGAAGAAGUAUUUCGGUAUGUAAAGCUCUAUCAGCAGGGAAGAAAANGACGNUACC
rnacentral:rRNA from 1 species